AGGCAAGGGGGUUAAAAAAGCAUUUGAAAAGGAUCAAUGCGCUUAAGCAUUGGAUGCUUUUCAAGAUUUGUGUUACCUUUAGAUUUUUACACAUUAUUAUAGAAACUCAAGGAGUCCUGAUUGUAGCUGCAAGCUUGCAGAUCAUACUGGGAUUUAGUCAAGUAUGGGGGCUUUCUUCGCUGCACACAUUAAAUUCGUUUCUAAAGAUUGUGCUGGUUGCAUUCAUCAGAAGUUCUGCAACUGGUUCUAAGGUGAUGGCCUCUGUAUCUCAAUUGGUUAAUUUAUGUUAUAGCUUUACCUUGGAAUUAUGUUAAGUGUUUUUUUAUAUUUUUUGAUCCUUCUCAUUUGGUAUGUGACUGUGUAGCAUCCUGUCUCUAUGGAACUUGGUGGUAAAAUUCCAAUUGUAGGUUUUUGAAGUUACAAAUCUUGAUAAAGCUGCCGAGAUGACUAUUUUUGGUUGCUUUUGGACAAAUGGCCAAAUCUAUAGUGCAACACCUCCCCUACUACUGCAUGGCAUGCAGUGGUGUACUAAGAUUCGUCAUGGAAAGUGGUAACAAGGGUUGUUAGGUUGUUUCCUUAACUGCAGAGUUCUCUUGAUAUCCUGGUUACUUUGGAGCUUACACCUUAGUGAGAGGCAUGAUAGUCUCAAAGCAUUUUUUAUAU